CUGGUUCCAGGGUUACUUUGGGUGUAUUCAGUUCCUUAGAUCCUUCCCUUCUGUCACAGUCUCAUGUUCUGUGACAGGCUGCGUUUCAGGAGAGGUUGCUUUUGUUCUCCAGCCGGUAGAAAGGAGAAGGUUGAGUUGGUACUGACCACACCCCCCUCCCAAACCCAAACCCAGCCAUUGGGCCAUCAAGGACACCCUCAGAUGACUCCUUAGCACCUGUUCUUCGGGCCCUCCUGCAGGCCUUUUAAAUCACAAAGGGAUCUGCCCACUUUGAAACAGGUCUCCACAUACGCUGGACGUGGACAGAGAGGGACUCACUGUCACAGGAGUUGGAGGGGGCACAUCGGCUUGUCAGAGACCACCGGGGGGUCACCCUGUGUGGAGUAGCCUGGAAGUGGCAUGGAGUGAGCAGAAGGCACAGCCCCAGCCCCACAUCGCUGCUGGCCUGGCUAGGGGUACCCACACCAGGAUUGCCUUUGCUGUCAGGAAGCACAGGAUCCACUAGAGAGAUGUGAAAAGAUAGGGCAUCCUGGGCCUCCACUUGGUCCAGUCCCCACCCUCAGGAAGCCUGGAUGGCUUCGGAGCCAUGCUGGUGGGCAGGGAUGCUGCUGUGUGCCUGUGCAGGCCUGCGAAGGUGUUCUCAUAGCAGGUUUUUGCAACGUGGCCAUGGCCUGCACUCCCUGAUGGGUAGCUUGCCGGCUCCCAUUUCUCCACCCUGGACUCAUCCAUGGGGCGUCAUAUUUCCAUGGCCAAUCCGUGGCCAUCCCUCAGUCCCCAUUAGGCUGUGACCAGCCGUCUGGUUUCCAAGAAUGCCGUGCUUCGUCCCUAUGACACGUUCCCCUUCCUAAAGGACCUGUUCAGCCUUCUGCUUCUUAUUUGCUCCUUGUACCCUUUCCUUUGCCUCUUUUCUGAUCUUUUGACCUUGGCUCUUUAAUUAUUUUCUUUUUGUCCUUUAGCGGGGUAGUUUGGGCCAGGGGGCUGCUAGGUGGUAGUGUUAGGCUCCAGGAGAAACAUCCACGUGAAAUAGCUGAAGUUCUUCCCUCCGUCUCACUCCUCACUGUCUCCCCCAUGAAAUCAUUCACGGGUUUGCUUCCGGCCCUCCCCGCCAGCUUACACCAACAACCAAGCGGACAUCGCCACCCAGGGCUGGUUCAUUGGGCUUAUGUGCGCCAUCGCCCUCCUGGUGCUGAUCCUGCUCAUCGUCUGUUUCAUCAAGAGGAGUCGCGGCGGCAAGUACCCAGUACGAGAAAAGAAGGAUGUUCCCCUUGGCCCUGAAGACCCCAAGGAAGAGGAUGGCUCGUUUGACUAUAGUGAUGAGGACAAUAAGCCCCUGCAGGGCAGUCAGACAUCUCUGGACGGCACCAUCAAGCAGCAGGAGAGUGACGACAGCCUGGUGGACUACGGCGAGGGUGGCGAGGGCCAGUUCAACGAAGACGGCUCCUUCAUCGGCCAGUACACGGUCAAAAAGGACAAGGAGGAAACAGAGGGCAACGAAAGCUCAGAGGCCACGUCACCUGUCAAUGCUAUCUACUCUCUGGCCUAACGGAGCCCACCCAGGCACAGCCACCCCUUUGCAAGUGGGAGGAGGGGAGAAGGGGAGACAAGACCACUGCAGACCUACCACAAAGCCACCACCACCUUCAGUAACAAGGGUACGAUAUGAGGGUCUGCCAAGCUGUGAGGACCAGUAACCACCAAGCCACCCACAAGCCCCCUCCUAAUGACCCCCCUUCAGCCCCGGGUGCCACCAGUGUGGGAGAGCUGGAGCCGUGGCUGAGCUCAGCUGGAGGGAGCCUGGCCCCUCGCCCGGUCUCGCAGCCACCCCGAGCGUUCCACCACACUGUCCGCCCUUGGCCUCGGCACACGCUCACCAUUUCUGUUGGUUAUGGGACUUCUCAUUGUCUUAAUUUCGCUUUGUGCAUCUUCCCCUCCAGACCCAAUGUCUCCGUUUUCUUUUCCUUUUGAAAAAGAGUCCCUGGAAAAGAAAGAAUAAGUGGAUUCUCCCCCAGGAGACCGUAAAGAUAGGCAAAAAGGAUUGAAUCCGUACCAGAACACGUAGACAGGCUGUAGUAUUCAAACCACCUCUGGGCCAGUGCAUUUCCGAAGGAUGCCUUUCUCGCCAUAUACCUCCCCGGCCCCCAACCCCUCUGCCUCGGCCUUGUCAGUUGCUGAGCUGGGCUUGGCUCCUUUCUGGAAAAUGACAGUAUUUUUGGCAGGGAGAAGGUGUGCAGGCCUCCUUGCUGCUCUCUGAUUCGGUUGGGAGGUGUGUUUACCUCUUGCUCCUCAUUCCUCCCUUGCCCUUUUCUCUGGAGUAUCUAAGAUGUGAGCUGCACUGACUCUGAAGACGUUUGAGGAACAGGAGUGGGCACGGAUAGAAAGGACUUCAACGCCAGUGACUGUGUACCUCAAGCAGAAGAAAAUCAGGUGUCUGGUCUUGGGGGCACUGUGCUCACCUCUAGAGAGAAGAAAAAGGCUGGGUUUGGACUUCCUGCCUCCCCACUGGUGAAACCCAGGAUGUAGAUAGAGGGCCACACCCACUCUGUCCAGAGUAGAGGGCACCUGUCCACGCGGCCAGGGCCCACGCUGCCACCCUCAAGGAGAUGGAACCCUGUGAUGCAAAAGCUUUGCUGGUGUGUUUGGGGCAUAAGGCACUGCUCGCCUUCCAUCUCUAGCAGUUAGAUAUCAUCAUCUCAGCCAAUUCUGUAGGACACUGAGGCUCUUGUUUGACGUGGUGUGUGGAUGGGACUUGCCCCAAGACCGAGCAGGUCUGCCCUUUCAUUGGGGUGUAUACAUAUCAGGGGACCCUGAGGUGGCACCGUACUCAGUGCUGUGAUGCCCCCACCUGGGGAGGACUCAAUGCUCUUUGUAUGCCUUAUGCAGCGCUGAUCUGUCCCUGGAGUUCCCAGGUUCCCAGCCCCUCCCUGCAAGCCUUGAAGCCUCCAGUGACGUCUAUCUCCAGGAGAGCAGGGCAGCCUAUGCAAGUGUUCCGGCAGGACCAGAAGCGGCCACUCAACACACGUCCUCACCAGUCACCCCAAAUGGAGACACUCGCAGACCUGCAGUUCUCAGACCGAAGGUGCUGCCCUCAUCCUCCCCACCUAAUGCAUUUUUGAAACCAAAGGUACCUAGCCUCAGAGACAGAGAAGGAGAGGGGGAGAUCUUGAGUCUAAGAGGAACCCUUUAGCUGUUUCUGUAGCUGAGGUCAGUUUCAGGAGGGUGAAGCUGAUCCCCAGGAAUGGAUCAGCUGCCAUGGGCACAGCCUCCGAUUUGAGCCUCCAGCUGCUAGCCAGGGGGCCUGGGCCAGACCAGGGCUCUGUCCUUCAGUGACUUUAUUAAAGCAACAUUUGCCACAUGUUUAAGCCGCAAAGGUAUUAGCAAUGCUUGCAUCAUUAAUAAUCAUUCAGUUGAAGGUCAAGCCCAUAGACACACACUCUCUGUCUGCUGGUAAGAAACCAUAGCCCAGAACUGAGCCAAUAAGGUUGUUUGAACCUGAGAGUGUGUGAUGGUCAUUUGGGCCAAGCCUCAGCUAGGGCUGCUGCCUGGACGCCUGAGGGGCAGCUUAUCACAGUGCAAGGGGACAGGGUAAACAGCAGGGGGUGGGGUGUGAGCUUGGAGGGCCCCUCCCCUGGAUUUCCUCCAACACCUGCUUGGAUACUAGGCCCACUGUCCCUGAAGGGAAUGUCAGGGAAGUGUGCCUGUGAGCUGAAUUAAAGGACUGGCCUUUCCAGAAAACGCUUUGGAUCUGAGCAGAGUAGUCAGUUUCUCAGACACUCAUUCCAUACUGCACCAUCCAUGCCAGUGUACCCAUUGCACCGAAGACAGGCUCUUCGGGCAGGAAGGGACGGUGAGCAAGUCUGCCACACCACCUGGUGACGGGGAAGGGCUGCCUCCCUCGUAAGGGUCUUGGGGAGAAGUAAGCCUGCAGCCUGCCUCUGCACCUCGUUCCACUGUCCUGCCAGGCUCUGUACUGUCCUUUGUGUAUGAAGAAAAUGCUAUUGGUCCUCUCUCAGGCUGUUCUGUGGGUGCUGAGAGCUGCCCCCCAUCACCAGGCAAUCACACCCCUCUGAGUAGAAGCAAAUCUGAGGCUGAAGAAUUAAGUUUUCCCCAAGCAAGGAAGGCAGGUGGUCAGAGAGAUCAAACGCUGAGGCGUGGGGAUUGCAGGAUUCAGGAGGCAGCUCCAUUGGGGAAGAAGAGGGUGCAUUUUCCAUGGAGCCCAUGUCAGAGUCCACCCCAGCUCAGCAGGAAAGCAGAAUUUCCCAGUACUGCCUGCCAGCUGGGUCUCCCAAGCAACUACCCCAAGACAUACCAACAGUAAAGCCAGGACAGCACCAUGCCAUCGGUACUCCAGUCUUUCUGGCUGGGAGGAAAGUGCUGGGCAUCUUACAGUAACUCUAGAAGUUCCUUUGACUAGGCUGCAAUCCCACCUGUGUGCUCAGCCCUAAGCGCUGUGGUUUCCUGUGCUCUCAUUUGUCCAUUCAUUCAUUCAUUCAUUCAUUCAUUCAUUCAUUCAGCAAAUAAUCUGAAAUCCAGUCUGAACUAAGUCCUGAGCUGUGGAUACCAUGGCGUGUGAGUUAGAUGUGGUCCCUGCCCUCACAGGGCUGACAGUCCUGAAAUCAAGUGCUGGGACACAGUGGCCAUUGAGCUGGGAGCAUUCUUCCCUCUACUGCUUAAGCCACUGAUGGCUACGAGCUUGAAGAGAGGGAUUCUGGGGGAGAGCUUGGUCCAUCUGGUCACCAAGGCUGGGCAGGACAAAGCAGUCAAGAACCACGGUGUGGCUUGAGAAACAGUCCUGCUUCCUGAGCCUCUUUGCUCUGCCUCUUGGGGCAAGCUCCUUAACCUGUCUGUAUCUUUAUGCCUCUGUCUCCCAUUCAGUUCCUCCUUGAAUACCUCUUUCUACAGAGAGGCAUGGGCUCCCCUGAAGGAUUGUCGAGGCCAGGGUUUGGGAAGUACACUGCCACGGGUCAGAGGACAGCUGCCUCCCACCUUGCCUGGGUGAUGGUGAAUGGGACUCAUCUUUCCCUGCCUUGCUUUUGAGGAGAUGGUUGAAUUUAAGCUAACAGGAAAGCCAAACCAGCACCCUCCUUUGUGCUCUGAGAGGUUGGAGACAUCUGGUCCACCCUGUCGCCCCUGCCCCGGCAAGCCCUGAAGUCGGGAGAAGUGACCACAGGUCUGAAAAUCAGCCAGUGCCAACAUUGCUUGCCCUGCAAGGUGCAACUGAGCCCACAUUCAUAGUUUCCCUGACCACAGCCUUGGGAAGAGGGUGGAAACCCCCGAGGAUGUGUGGGUUUCCCAGCUAAGGGACAAGCUCCCCUGCCACACCCAGUGCCCAUGCAUGCUCGCAUACAUACAGCAGACCACAGCCCUGUUGCCAAGCAGUGCUUCCAAGGGACAGCGAUCCAGAUUCCAACAUUGUCUUGGAGAGGGUUAGUCCACAUCUGAGUUGUGUGAGAUGAGAUGCAAAGGGCUCUGUGUGGGUGAGGAACGCAACUUAGAGAAGCGGGAGAGGCCACCAGGGUUGGGCCCUGUUUAGGUAAUUCCUGUUGGCAACACCUAGAGAGAGCAUCUGAGCUGAAGGAGUGGGAAACUUUGCCCCAGCAAUGGCACGGGCAGCGGGCUCUUUCUGGCGCCCUGUGCUGGAGCAGGGCCAAGUCUUAGGGCAUCACAAACAGCCCAUUUGAUGGAGGGAGCAGGGACAUAGCACAUUUUUGUCUGUCUUUGUGAGGCUGCUUUGCUAACUCUCUGAGGAGAGGAAGCCUCUCAGGCUUUCCAUCAGCUGGGGCUAGUGCCAGAGAAUCCCUUCUCAGUGGCCAGCAGGUUCCUGGGAGGCCAGCACAAGGCACCGCUCCCCGCUCAUGACACCUUGGUGCAGAGUGACCUCCUGCCCAGUCACCACUCCGGCCAGCCCCAGCCAAACACACAAAAGCCCAUGGUUGCGGUUGCAUCUACCCCAUUAGUUGGCAAAGGAUCCUGCUUGAGCUCUGCGUGGUGGCCAAGGAGUAGCAUGGAGGAGGGCCCUGAUUUUAAAAAGGAAGAA
rnacentral:sRNA from 1 species